rnacentral:rRNA from 1 species
GAUGAACGCUGGCGGCGUGCUUAACACAUGCAAGUCGAACGAUGAAGCCCAGCUUGCUGGGUGGAUUAGUGGCGAACGGGUGAGUAACACGUGAGUAACCUGCCCUUGACUCUGGGAUAAGCCUGGGAAACUGGGUCUAAUACUGGAUAUGACUUCUCAUCGCAUGGUGGGGGGUGGAAAGAUUUAUUGGUAUUGGAUGGACUCGCGGCCUAUCAGCUUGUUGGUGAGGUAAUGGCUCACCAAGGCGACGACGGGUAGCCGGCCUGGGAGGGUGACCGGCCACCAUGGGACUGCGACACGGCCCAGACUCCUACGGGAGGCAGCGGUGGGGAAUAUUGCACAAUGGGCGCAAGCCUGAUGCAGCGACGCCGCGUGAGGGAUGACGGCCUUCGGGUUGUAAACCUCUUUCAGUAGGGAAGAAGCGAGAGUGACGGUACCUGCAGAAGAAGCGCCGGCUAACUACGUG